AGGUGUCUGAAGGGUUCGAUACUUGUUUUUAUAUUUUGACCUAACACUUUCGAUCAGGGAGCUUAAUAGGUUUUCUUACGUCGCACACGCCUCUAUAGGAGGACUUGCUAAAUAAGAAACAGGGCACCCACCUGUUUAUAGCAGGCCAAAAUGAUCAACAAAUAGUAACGGCUCAAAUUGGAUACUAC
rnacentral:other from 1 species